ACGGCGAGUGAAGCGGGAAGAGCUCAAAUUUGAAAUCUUCAAGGUUCUACCUUGACGAAUUGUAGUUUAAAGAAGUGUUUUCUGCUAGAGGAGUAGCAAAAGUUUCUUGGAAUGGGACAUCAUAGAGGGUGAGAAUCCCAUAUUUGGUUAUUCUUUCUAGCUUUGUGAUACACUUUCAAAGAGUCGGAUUGUUUGGGAAUGCAGUCCAAAAUGGGUGGUAAAUUUCAUCUAAAGCUAAAUAUUGGCGAGAGACCGAUAGCGAACAAGUACCGUGAGGGAAAGAUGAAAAGAACUUUGAAAAGAGAGUUAAACAGUACGUGAAAUUGUCAAAAGGGAAGCGUUUGACACCAGUGUUGUUUUUCCGAAAAUCAAUUACGAAUGGCUUGAUUUUGUGUUGUAUUGACCUUAUCAGCUUUCUUCACUCUUUUUCGAGUCUUUCUUAAUGCACUUUUCGGUUAACAAGUCAACAUCAAUUUCUUUUGUUGUAAAAGGGUAUUUGGAAGGUGGCUUUCUUUUCGGAGAAAGUGUUUAUAGCCUUAUACCUCUACAAUCGGAGAGAUUGAGGUCUGCAGCGUAGAUCCUUCGGGGCUAGAUACACUUGUGCUAAGUUAUAGCUUUUCAUAGACAACUUGUUGACUAUGUUUAGUCAUGUAGCUUACCCGCUUGUGCUAUUUUACCUACGCUUAGGAUGUUGACAAAAUGGUUUUAAACGACCCGUCUUGAAACACGGACC
rnacentral:rRNA from 1 species